ACAAGAAUUAAGAGGGGGAUGGUCUACGCAUAGCGGACGCGAACUAUUAAUGAUCAAAUGAAUGAUCCUGAACACCUACUUACGUCAGACAUAACCCCACUGUGUCCUCGAUCGGAGAAGGAACUCAUGAAAGAGACAAUCACGGUUACGCACACAGUUGGCAAGUUUUAACUAAGUUAUCUUCAAAUUAUCUAGAACCAGUGUUAAAAAAAGUUUCCACGUUGCCACAUAAC
rnacentral:lncRNA from 1 species